UACACUUUAGUAUUAGUGUACAAAGAAUUUUGAUUUCUUUAGGAAUAAUUAGUUUUAUUAAGUGUAA
rnacentral:tRNA from 1 species